AGGAAAGAAGCAGCGGGAUGGAAGUAGUUGGGUGUCCGCAGCACGGGACCUUAUGUAUUCUGAAGACCGGCGUCCGAGAUGGCCCGAAUAAAGGAAAGAGCUUCUACGUGUGCCGGGCGGACACAUGCAGCUUCGUGCGGGCCACCGACAUUCCUGUUUCUCAUUGUUUAUUGCAUGAGGACUUUGUGGUAGAGCUUCAGGGUCUGUUUCUAUCACAGGGCAAGAAAGAAUACAGGUUAUUCUUCCGAUGUGUUAGAAGUAAGGCAGAGGGGAAGCAAUGGUGUGGAAAUAUCCCAUGGCAGGAUCCUAAUUCCAAAGAACAUUCUGUAACCAGUAAGUCUCGGCAUGCCUCUGAGCCAUCUCGUUAUCCUUCCAGCCAGCAGAGAAACCCGUUCAAGUUAGUUGACAAGAAUCAAGAACCAUCCCUCCGGAAGCAGUUCAUCAAAGGUGAAGAUGAGGAAAAGACAGCUGGUAGGAAGCAAAGAGAAAAGGGAGAUCCACUCCUGGAUCAAAAGAAGGAACAGAAGCCUGAAUCUAAGUGCUGGACGGAGAAAGAUCUCUCAUCUGGCCUGGCGGUAAAGAAAAAACAAUCUGCUGUUCAAGAGACGCGGCGAGGGGAGAAGACAGAGUUUCAUAGUGCAGCAAAGGAGGUUGAAGGGAUGCACAAAAGAAACCUUUCUGAGAUGAAAUCCAAACAGGUCCGUGGGAGUGAGCUGAGAGGACCAUCUGCAUCUCAGGAGAAGUCAAAUGGUGAGAGUCAUUCUGUCCAAAAAGAAUCAGAACCUCCAAGGGAAAAGGACACUAAGACUUUGCCUCGAAUUGUUCACAGUCAACACCCAAUAAGCCAGCCCCUGAAAGGGGGACACCUCAGCAAGGAGCACCCCAAGAGCUGGGAAGCUAGAGAAACAAAGGCAAAGAAUGACCCAAGCACGCAGACCUGCCAUAAGAGUCUGCUCCAGGGCCAUUUGCAGGCACAGCUGGAGGCCCGGGACACGCCUGCUCCAAAGGGACCAGCUGCUCAGCCUGCACCGCCGGCCGCAGGGCAUCCCCAGGGAGAGAGGCGAGAUGCCGAUACACGCGGUGGUGACAGUGAGGAAGAUGACGUCGUUUUUGUUUCCUCUAAGCCAGGGAGCCCCUUGCUCUUUGACUUGACUCUAGACUCACAGAAGAAGGAGAACCUUAAAUGCCCUGGUCAGAGUGUGCAAAGAAAAAUUCCUCCUGACUCAGGCGUUUCCAAGAAGGGAGAAUCUUCAGACCCAGCAGCCCAGCGUGUGUACCUCACAACACAGCUGAAACAAAAGAAGAGAACACUGGCAUCUGUGAACAUCCAGGCUCUUCCAGACAAGGGUCAGAAGUUGUUCAAGCAACUUCAGGAGCUGGAGGAUGCACUCAGUGCCCUGGCCCUCUCCCCAGAGCAAGGCAUUAAUGAGAAGAGUAACACUCAAGUACCACAGCAGAGUAACUUCACCAAAACAACCACUGACCCUCCCCAGUUGGUGCCUCCCAAACCCCUGCAGGGCCGGGAUCUCCAGCCUCUGGGUUGUCUAGGACUGAAGGCUGCCCGCCAGGAGGCUGCUGGAGGGUCUGAUCAGUGCUGUGGAGGCCCCAUGAGCCAAGAUCGCCUUCGCUCAGUGUGGCAAAUCACAAGUGAAGCCAUUGAUGAGCUGCAUCGAUCACUUGAGUCACGUCCUGGCGAGACAGCUGUGGCAGAGGAUCCGGCUGGGUUGAAGAUCCCUUUGCUGCUGCACCAGAAGCAGGCAUUAGCCUGGCUGCUAUGGCGGGAAAGUCAGAAGCCACGAGGAGGAAUUCUGGCGGAUGAUAUGGGGUUAGGAAAAACCCUGACAAUGAUUGCACUCAUCCUGACCCAGAAGAAUCAAGAGAAAAACAAAGAAAAGGACAAAACCACGGGUUUGGCUUGGCUUUCCAAAAAUGACUCCUCUGAGUUCCCUUCCCAUGGAACACUAAUCAUCUGUCCUGCUUCCCUGAUCCAUCACUGGAAAAAUGAGGUGGAGAAAUGUGUGAGCAACAACAAACUAAGAGUCUACCUCUAUCAUGGGUCAAACCGGGAUCAACGUGCAAAAGCCCUCUCCACAUAUGACAUCGUGGUCACUACCUACAGCCUUCUGGCCAAGGAGAUUCCCACAAAGAAGCCAGAGGGAGAGAUGCCAGGUGCAAACCUCAGUGUGGAGGGUAUCUCGUCACCUUUGCUUCGAGUAGUCUGGGCUCGAAUCAUAUUGGAUGAAGCUCACAAUGUUAAGAAUCCCCGAGUGCAGACUUCCUUGGCUGUGUGUAAGCUCCAAGCCCAAGCCCGUUGGGCUGUCACUGGAACCCCCAUUCAGAACAACUUGUUGGACGUGUAUUCACUGCUGAAAUUUCUCCGUUGUUCUCCAUUUGAUGAACUCAGUCUGUGGAAGAGUCAGGUUGACAAUGGUUCAAAGAAAGGAGAAGAACGGUUAAAUAUUUUAACCAAGAGCCUUUUGCUGAGGAGAACAAAAGACCAGCUGGACCCCACCGGCAAGCCCUUGGUGGUGCUCCCCCAGCGUAAAUUUCAGUUGCACCAUUUAAAGCUUUCUGAAGAUGAAGAGAAUGUUUAUAGUGUCCUUUUUGCAAGAUCAAGGUCAGCUGUGCAGUCCUAUCUAAAAAGACAUGAAAGUGGGGGCAGCCAAUCUGGAAGAAACCUUGAUAAUCCAUUCAGUAGAGUGGCGCAGGAGUUUGGGUCCAGUGGGCCUGGGCUCUCGGUGGCAGCAGACUCGCAGACAUCUAGCACCGCCCACAUACUGUCACAGUUGCUGAGACUCCGCCAGUGUUGUUGUCAUCUUUCUCUGCUGAAGUCGGCCCUGGAUCCGAAAGAGCUGAAGAGUGAAGGCCUGGUCCUUUCCCUGGACGAGCAGCUCAGAGCCUUGACCUUGUCCGAAUUCCAUAACUCAGAGCCGUCUGCCUCCGUUUCCCUUAAUGGCAAAUGCUUCAAGGUGGAGCUUUUUGACGACAGGAGAGAGAGCACCAAGAUUUCAUCUCUGUUGGCAGAAUUGGAGGCAAUCCGAAGAAAUUCAGGGUCCCAAAAGAGUGUCAUCGUCUCUCAGUGGACCAGCAUGCUGAAGGUUGUAACCUUGCACCUUAAGAGGCAUGGACUGACUUAUUCCACCAUCGAUGGCUCUGUUAACCCCAAACAGAGAAUGGACUUGGUGGAGGCAUUUAACAACUCCAGGGGCCCUCAGGUUAUGCUAAUCUCUCUCUUGGCUGGAGGUGUUGGUCUAAACCUGACCGGAGGAAACCAUCUUUUUCUUCUGGACAUGCACUGGAAUCCGUCACUUGAAGAUCAAGCUUGUGACCGAAUUUACCGAGUAGGGCAGCAGAAAGAUGUUGUCAUACACAGAUUUGUUUGUGAGGGAACAGUGGAAGAGAAGAUCUUGCAGCUCCAAGAGAAAAAGAAAGAUUUGGCCAAACAGAUUCUAUCAGGAUCUGGAGAAGUUGUCACCAAGCUCACCUUGGCCGAUCUCAAAGUCCUUUUUGGCAUCUAACUUCCUGUUUAUGGGGCUCAGAAUAGUGCCAUUGUUGGUUUGUAUUAGGAUCUGGGGAGAAUGACCUAACCCUGGUCCUUUGAGCUCUCGUUGCCAUUCAGUUUCACCUUCAAGCCCGCCUCAAAGUGAGGAUCAGUUAUCAUGUUAACCACUUGGUUAACCAGUCAUGUUAAUCAAUCAAUGUAUUUAAUGUGUGACAUAGAAACCAAUAAAUUACUUCAGAUAAGAGAAAAUGCUUUAGAGUUAGAGAAUUUGGAAAACAACCUUGGGAGAGUUGUACCUAAGCUUCAGUAAAAGCUCAAAAAGCCCUCUGUUGCUUUUCUCUUCUCAGCUGGUGGCGACCCAAUGUUACUGCCUUUUCUAACACAGGCUCCAUCCCAUCUCUUCAUCUCCUGUCAACGAGGCUGCUCAUAUAACCAUCUCUUUAUGGGCUGAGCAGAAGCGGGUCUCUACGUAAUAUGUAGAUGAGACUACAUUUCCUAGUCUUCACUGCAGUUACAUGGGUCCGUAUUACUGAGUUCUAUGGAGAGAAGUGAUUUUCUUCAGCAUUAAGGUCAGGGGUCCUCUGGUGAUCUGAAGCCGUGCUGGCCGCAGCUGUGACCACAGACCCAGGAAGCCGUCAGAGGGCCACCGUCCUCAGUAGACUCCGUGCUGCGCUCUGCCCACCUGCCCACGUGCAUUCCGACUUUUCGGUAAACUUCCCACAGCACGACCAGUGGGGGCGCCCUGGGUGGCCUUUGUGUCCGUGGCCACAGCCUAGGUACCCACCUGCAUGGUUCAAAGAGGAGAGGGGAGAAUCACCAUUAGAGGAAAGUCCAGCGGUUACCACGGAAAUUAAUGCUCCUGGCGACAUUCAGACUCAUGGACGUGAAAACGUCUAAUAAAAACCCAGCGAGAGGAACAAGCUAUUCGACGCCUCUGUAGUCAGAAGAACUCUCAAGACUGAUGACAGCAAAUCAAUUCAGACUACCUUCCUGGAAACAAAGCCUAAGUCUGAACACCCCGAAGCUGGUCGCUGUGGUAGUUGAUCCCGCCGCCGGGAGACAGCAGCAGAGGGAGAGCGAGGGCUUUCAGGAGCAACUGGUUCCCCUUACCCGGCAUGGUGCCUCCACACGCGCAGCGAGCAGUCUUCUGGCCUCCGCUGGAGCAGAACGUGCAGCAGUGAAACACGCCUGGGUGUGAGCGGUGCCGUUUCCUCACGGUCACAGUGAAUGGUGAGCCCUUCAGUGUUCAGACCAAGAGCAAAGAACAGCACCUUGUGAGUCAACAGGGGUGUGCUGAGCGUCACACGUACUAAACAGAGUGUAAGCCGCAGGGCCUGUCCCCGGAGGGACGAGGACAGCAGGAGGGAGACAGCGACUGGGGGACAGCAACCAGCUGGGCGCUGAGCUGCACGGGGCCAGAUACAAAUGCAGUGAGCAGGGAGUCAAGGAAUCCGUGCUGCUCUCCCAGCAUGCAGACCACCUGACACACUAGGAAACCCAACUGUGCUUUCACGUCUCUGACCUUGGUCUCUAUCUCCUCCAUUCCUGAGCAAGCUUGGGUAACUAUAGAGCACACAACCACAAGGUGAGGACAUCUGUGGUCCUUUCUCCAAUUUCUCAGCCACACCCCCUCUCCCCUCACAUACUGAGCCAGCUCCUCUCCUUCCAUGCCUCCAUCCUGGACACAACUGUUUACCCAUCCCCUCACUCUGGGUUGGUGAAGAUAGAUGGAAGGGAGGAAGGUUAAGAGCCUGUGGUUAAUAAUUCUCAGAUUAGAAACCCUCCUGCCUCUUUUCCUUCAAGGAUAACUUCCAUUCUCUAAUUUCGACCCUAUGUUAAACAGUAAAUAUUUAAUAAGUGUUGCUAUGUGCCUAUCCCUGCAUGAGAACCACACAUUCUGCAAAAGCACAAAGCAGAGAGGCUGGCACCUUAGAAGCCUUUCAAAUGUUAAAUCUCUCUGUCUUUAAAGAGUUUACAGUCUAUUUUAAAAACAACCUGGAGUUCAAAGCUAUGGGUUCAAAUUAUGAUUUUGCCACACAGGUACUGUGUACUGUGGCAAGUUUGUUUUCUCGGUCCAGUUGGAUGAUGAUGCUUAUGCCUCAGUGAUUUGGAGGAAAAGUGAAAUAAUGUUUGUAAAAACACCUAACCCGGGCUUCCCUGGUGGCGCAGUGGUUGGGAGUCCGCCUGCCAAUGCGGGGGACACGGGUUCGAGCCCUGGUCCGGGAGGAUCCCACAUGCCGCGGAGCGGCUGGGCCCGUGUGCCGCAACUACUGAGUCUGCGCCACAACUACUGAGCCUGCGUGCCAUGGCUACCAAAGCCCACGUGCCUAGAGCCCGCGCUCUGCAAUGGGAGAAGCCACUGCGAUGAGAGGCCCGCGUACCACAAUGAGGAGUAGCCCCCACUCGCCACAACUAGAGAAAGACCGUGCGCAGCAACAAGGACCCAAU